AUUGAACGCUGGCGGCAGGCCUAACACAUGCAAGUCGAACGAGUGGCGGACGGGUGAGUAAUGUCUGGGAAACUGCCCGAUGGAGGGGGAUAACUACUGGAAACGGUAGCUAAUACCGCAUACCAUCGGAUGUGCCCUGAUGGGAGUAGCUAGUAGGGGGGGGAACGGCUCACCUAGGCGACGAUCCCUAGCUGGUCUGAGAGGAUGACCAGCAACACGGGAACUGAGAAAAGGUCCCACAUCCGAAGGGAGGCAGCAGCGGGGAAUAUUGCGCAAUGGGCACAAGCCUGAUGCAGCCAUGCCGCGUGUAUGAAGAAGGCCUUCGGGUUGUAAAGUACUUUAAGCGAGGAGGCGUUACUCGAAGAAGAAGCAUCGGCUAACUCCGUGCCAGCAGCCGCGGUAAUAC
rnacentral:rRNA from 1 species